AGAAAGCGCGUUAAGGAUUGUAGUGGAAAUCCUUUUACCGUCGGUUCGAGUUCGCGUAGCGAGUAUCGAGAACAAGGUAAAAGAUUGUAACGAAAAGCCUGACCCAAU
rnacentral:sRNA from 1 species